ACGUAGGGUGCAAGCGUUAAUCGGAAUUACUGGGCGUAAAGCGUGCGCAGGCGGUCCGCUAAGACAGAUGUGAAAUCCCCGGGCUUAACCUGGGAACUGCAUUUGUGACUGGCGGGCUAGAGUAUGGCAGAGGGGGGUAGAAUUCCACGUGUAGCAGUGAAAUGCGUAGAGAUGUGGAGGAAUACCGAUGGCGAAGGCAGCCCCCUGGGCCAAUACUGACGCUCAUGCACGAAAGCGUGGGGAGCAAA
rnacentral:rRNA from 1 species